GCGAAAUGCACAGAGUAAACUAUCAUAAAUUUAAACGUAGUGCUAAUUGGAAGUACGUGUAAUUAAAAAAUGAACUACGAGUAGCAUAUUGAGAUGUUUGUUACCUGUUUCAGCUGAUUAGUUGGACGUUCGUGUGUUAAAUAUUCGUUUGACGAGAAUUAUAUCGACGCUGAAAUUAGGUAAGCUGAAUUUAGAAACACCUAUGAGUAGCUUGCACGUACCUACGAGUAAACCAAGAUUGUUUCGAAAAUUAAUUACCUGUCGGUUGUUUUACAGUAGUAAGACGUAUUGGAUCGUGACUGGCAAAUUCAAGUAGCUAGAAGUGAUCUUCUAAUUAGACAUAGUUAUUGACGAUACGAUGAACGACGCGAACGAAAGAGAAGACGUACCGAGACGAGCGUUUGUUUGGGAUGAUAGUAACAGCAGCACAUCCGAAAGCGAAGAGGAAGAUGACGCAACGCAUUACCGCGUUUUCCGCUGCCAGCUAUGCGGACAGGC